CACGUACUCCCUCCGUUCGGAAUUACUUGUCGUAGAAAUGGAUGUAUCUAGACGUAUUUUAGUUCUAGAUACAUCCAUUUCCGAGACAAGUAAUUUCGAACGGAGGGAGUAUGAC
rnacentral:pre_miRNA from 1 species